ensembl:lncRNA
AUGCCACUACCACCAACAAUGCCACUACCACCAACAAUGCCACUACCACCAACAAUUCCACUACCACCUACAAUGUCAUUACCACCAACAAUGCCACUACCACCACCACUACCUCCUGUACUAUUCAAAUGUAUAGAAUUAUUUAAACAAAAUAAAUUUCCACUAUUGUUUAAUCCCAUGUUUGUUCCUAACGCUGCAUUCAUGUGCAUACCACUGUUUAUGUUAUUCGCACUUCCAAUAGUUGUGGCAGUAUUACUACUACUGUUACUAGCACCUGUCAUGUUCAUAUUGUUACUGUUACUGUUGUUGUUAUUGUUGUUGUUAUUGUUGUUGUUAUUGUUGUUGUUAUUGUUGUUGUUAUUGUUGUUGUUAUUGUUGUUGUUAUUGUUGUUGUUAUUGUUGUUGUUAUUGUUGUUGUUAUUGUUGUUGUUGUUAUUGUUGUUACUACCUUUAUUACUGUUAUUAGUUCCAUCAUUAUUAUUAUUACUACUGUUACUAUUAUUAUUACUGCUAUUACUACUGUUACUAUUAUUAUUACUGCUAUUACUACUAUUAUUAUUAUUGUUAUUGCUAUUGCUAUUACCAUUGCUACUACUGUUAUUAUUAUUGUUAUUGCUACUAUUACUACUUCCAUUACUACUAUUUCCAUCGUUUUCGUUACUGUCACUGCAGUUACUAGUACUAAGAUUAUGGUCCGUAUUAAUGCUUUUUGUGUUUAAACUUUUAUUAUCAUCAUGUUUACAUUCUUUGUUCAUAAUGUUAUUAUUACUGUUAUCUGGGAUUUUUUCAGGUAUGUUUGACAAGUCACAAAAAUCGAUAGAUAUUUUUUCGGAGCUACAUUUUUUUUCAUCACUACAUCUACCACUGUUAUCCUUAUGACCAAAUGCAUUAUCCUUUUUUUUUUUUAACUAAACAAGUAUUAUUACUAUUAUAAUUAUCAUGACAAUUUACUCCAAUCAUUUUAUCAUAAUCCUUCUUAUCAUAAUUUAAACUCUCAUUCGAUUUAUCUUCUUUAUACUGUGCUGCAUUAUUUUGUUGUGAAAUGUUACUAUCAUUAUAAACGUCGCCAACACAACUUAUAUAUUUUUUUAACUCUUUAUCAUUGUUCGUGACGAUGUUAUCAUUAGAGCUAUUGUCGUUACUGUGUAUGUUGUUAUCCAUGCUGAUGUUAAUGCUACUACUAAGACUCGAUUGGGGUGUAUAAGUACUACAACCAGCACUCACAAUACUACAAGUCGUGCCCUCGCUUCCAUCAGUUGUAUCACUUUUCAUAUUGCUAUUAAAUGUACCUAUUUCUUUAUUAUUUAAUACUCCUGUACUUAAUUCAGAUAUAUCCGCAUCUUGCUUGUUAGUAAAUUCUUCACUUUUAUAUGCUUCUUUUUUUUCAUUCUUCAUAGUAUUAGUCACAUUAGUUACAUCCAAUUCUUUUUGCUUUAAGUAACUUAUAACAUUUUCACCUUCUUUUGCCUCUUCUCUACAUGUACUUGUUGUACUGAAGGAUGUUUGGCUCUUAAUUCCGUUUAUCAUUUUAUCGUAUUCUGUUAUAUCUUUGCUUAGUAUAAUAUCACUUUGCAUUGUUCCCAAAAUUUGUUUUUUCUAAAAGAAUAUAUUAAUUAAUGCUUUUUAGAUAUCUAUGCGUAUCUUAGCUUAAAAGUGUACAUACAUAUAUAUAUAUAUAUAUGCUUAAACAAAUAUAUUUAUGUAUAUACAAGGUAAACAUACACACAUACGUUUUAUUAAAGUUCUAUUAUGUUAUGUUAACCUAUUCACUUAACACGUGUUACAAUUAAAAAAUAAAAUUAAAUUAACAAAAAUGGUAUAUAUGUAU